rnacentral:lncRNA from 1 species
ACCCAAAUAUUAUUUUAAGGGUUUCCUUAAUGUCACUAUGAAUACCCAAUAACUUCUCUCUAAGAUCUCCAUCAACCGCUGACGUCCGAACAAGAACCGAAUCAAAAUCAAACCAAUGGCAUCGUCAUCAUCUUCUUUUUCUAAAGUUUUGAUUCUUAUAAAUGAUGAUUUGGAGGAACAACUUACGGGAAGCAGGUAACCCCUGGAUUUCGUCCAUGAACUCCUCCGUGUUAUUGAUGUGACCCAAUUUGAGUUUACUUUACACUGAAUUGAAGUUAUUUGCAUGGAUUUUAACACUGAUUUUUACACUAAUCUUCUUAACUCAGUUUAAUGAUAUUAAU